UACGAAGGGGGCUAGCGUUGUUCGGAUUUACUGGGCGUAAAGGGCGCGCAGGCGGCAGAUCAAGUCAGACGUGAAAGCCCCGGGCUUAACCUGGGAACUGCGUUUGGGACUGGUUUGCUAGAGAUCGGGAGAGGAGAGUGGAAUUCCCAGUGUAGAGGUGAAAUUCGUAGAUAUUGGGAAGAACACCGGUGGCGAAGGCGGCUCUCUGGACCGAUACGUGACGCUGAGGCGCGAAAGCGUGGGGGAGCAAACAGG
rnacentral:rRNA from 1 species